UACGAAGGGGGCUAGCGUUGUUCGGAAUUACUGGGCGUAAAGCGCACGUAGGCGGAUACUUAAGUCAGGGGUGAAAUCCCGGGGCUCAACCCCGGAACUGCCUUUGAUACUGGGUAUCUCGAGUCCGGAAGAGGUGAGUGGAAUUCCGAGUGUAGAGGUGAAAUUCGUAGAUAUUCGGAGGAACACCGAGUGGCGAAGGCGGCUCACUGGUCCGGUACUGACGCUGAGGUGCGAAAGCGUGGGGAGCAACAGG
rnacentral:rRNA from 1 species